rnacentral:misc_RNA from 1 species
UCCGGCUUAUCACCGGCAGUCGCCUUAGAGUGCCCAACUAAAUGAUGGCAACUAAGGCCGAGGGUUGCGCUCGUUGCGGGACUUAACCCAACAUCUCACGACACGAGCUGACGACAGCCAUGCAGCACCUUACUACCGACCCCUUGCGGGGAAGCCUGCUUUCACAGGCGGUCCAGUAGCAUUCUAGCCCAGGUAAGGUUCCUCGCGUACCAUCGAAUUAAACCACAUGCUCCACCGCUUGUGCGGGCCCCCGUCAAUUCCUUUGAGUUUCAGCCUUGCGGCCGUACUCCCCAGGCGGGGCACUUCAUGCGUUAGCGCCGGCACUCAGAGGGUCGCUCCCCCAAGCACCUAGUGCCCAUCGUUUACGGCGUGGACUAC